UACAGAGGUCCCAAGCGUUGUUCGGAUUCACUGGGCGUAAAGGGUGCGUAGGUGGUGGGGUAAGUCGGAUGUGAAAUCUCCGAGCUCAACUCGGAAAUGGCAUUGGAAACUACCCUGCUUGAGGGUCGGAGGGGGGACUGGAAUGCUUGGUGUAGCAGUGAAAUGCGUAGAUAUCAAGCGGAACACCAGUGGCGAAGGCGAGUCCCUGGACGACUCCUGACACUGAGGCACGAAGGCCAGGGGAGCAAACGGG
rnacentral:rRNA from 1 species